rnacentral:rRNA from 1 species
UACGGAGGGGGCUAGCGUUAUUCGGGAUUAUUGGGCGGAAAGGGCGCGUUGGCGGCCCGGUAAGUCAAAGGUGAAAUCCCUCGGCUCAACUGAGGAACUGCCUUUGAAACUGUCGGGCUUGAGGCCGGGAGGGGGUAGCGGAAUUCCCAGUGUAGCGGUGAAAUGCGUAGAUAUUGGGAGGAACACCGGUGGCGAAGGCGGCUACCUGGACCGGUUCUGACGCUGAUGCGCGAAAGCGUGGGUAGCAAACAGG